AUCCAACUGACGAGUCCCAAAUGGGACGAAACGUGCAUCCUGGAU
rfam:Schistosoma curassoni strain Dakar, Senegal genome assembly, scaffold: SCTD_contig0003836